rnacentral:rRNA from 1 species
UACAGAGACUGCAAGCGUUUAUUCGGAUUCACUGGGCGUAAAGGGUGCGCAGGCGGCCAAGUGUGUUAGGCGUGAAAGCCUGAGGCUUAACCUCAGAAUUGCACCUAAAACUACAUGGCUAGAGCAUUGGAGAGGGUAGCGGAAUUCACGGUGUAGCAGUGAAAUGCGUAGAUAUCGGGAGGAACACCAGUGGCGAAGGCGAUCUUCUGGACGGAUACUGACGCUGAGGCGCGAAAGCUAGGGGAGCAAACGGG